rnacentral:rRNA from 1 species
CAGUAGCCGCGGUAAUACGUAGGGGGCAAGCGUUGUCCGGAAUUAUUGGGCGUAAAGCGCGCGCAGGCGGUUUUUUAAGUCUGGUGUCUAAGUGCGGGGCUCAACCCCGUGACGCACUGGAAACUGGGAGACUUGAGUGCAGAAGAGGAGAGCGGAAUUCCACGUGUAGCGGUGAAAUGCGUAGAGAUGUGGAGGAACACCAGUGGCGAAGGCGACUCUCUGGUCUGUAACUGACGCUGAGGAGCGAAAGCGUGGGGAGCGAACAGGAUUAGAUACCCCCGUAGUCCCUGUCUCUUAUACA